rnacentral:tRNA from 1 species
GGACAGGUGGCCGAGCGGUUGAAGGCGCUAGUCUCGAAAACUAGUAUAGGUGUAAGCCUAUCGAGGGUUCGAAUCCCUCCCUGUCCGCCA